GACGAACGCUGGCGGCGUGCUUAACACAUGCAAGUCGAGCGGUAAGGCCCUUUCGGGGUACACGAGCGGCGAACGGGUGAGUAACACGUGGGUGACCUGCCCUCAGCUCUGGGAUAAGCCUGGGAAACCGGGUCUAAUACCGGAUAUGACUCCAUGACGCAUGUUGUGGGGUGGAAAGCCUUGUGCGGCUGAGGAUGGGCCCGCGGCCUAUCAGCUUGUUGGUGGGGUGAGGCCUACCAAGGCGACGACGGGUAGCCGGCCUGAGAGGGCGACCGGCCACACUGGGACUGAGACACGGCCCAGACUCCUACGGGAGGCAGCAGUGGGGAAUCUUGCGCAAUGGGCGAAAGCCUGACGCAGCGACGCCGCGUGAGGGAUGACGGCCU
rnacentral:rRNA from 1 species